rnacentral:rRNA from 1 species
AGAGGUUCCUUUUGGCUCAGGAUGAACGCUAGCUACAGGCUUAACACAUGCAAGUCGAGGGGCAGCAUGUCGGUUGCUUGCAACCGAUGAUGGCGACCGGCGCACGGGUGAGUAACGCGUAUCCAACCUACCCUUGUCCAUCGGAUAACCCGUCGAAAGGCGGCCUAACACGAUAUGCGGUUCACCGCAGGCAUCUAAGGUGAACGAAAUGUGAAGGAGAAGGAUGGGGAUGCGUCUGAUUAGCUUGUUGGCGGGGUAACGGCCCACCAAGGCGACGAUCAGUAGGGGUUCUGAGAGGAAGGUCCCCCACAUUGGAACUGAGACACGGUCCAAACUCCUACGGGAGGCAGCAGUGAGGAAUAUUGGUCAAUGGACGGGAGUCUGAACCAGCCAAGUAGCGUGCAGGACGACGGCCCUAUGGGUUGUAAACUGCUUUUAUAGGGGGAUAAAGUGUGCCACGUGUGGCAUAUUGCAGGUACCCUAUGAAUAAGGACCGGCUAAUUCCGUGCCAGCAGCCGCGGUAAUACGGAAGGUCCGGGCGUUAUCCGGAUUUAUUGGGUUUAAAGGGAGCGUAGGCCGUCUUAUAAGCGUGUUGUGAAAUGUCGGGGCUCAACCUGGGCAUUGCAGCGCGAACUGUGAGACUUGAGUGCGCAGGAAGUAGGCGGAAUUCGUCGUGUAGCGGUGAAAUGCUUAGAUAUGACGAAGAACUCCGAUUGCGAAGGCAGCCUGCUGUAGCGCAACUGACGCUGAAGCUCGAAAGCGUGGGUAUCGAACAGGAUUAGAUACCCUGGUAGUCCACGCGGUAAACGAUGGAGGCUCGCUGUUUGCGUUUGACGUAAGCGGCCAAGCGAAAGCGUUAAGCAUCCCCCCUGGGGAGUACGCCGGCAACGGUGAAA